rnacentral:rRNA from 1 species
AGUGAACGCUGGCGGUAGGCCUAACACAUGCAAGUCGAACGGCAGCACAGUAAGAGCUUGCUCUUACGGGUGGCGAGUGGCGGACGGGUGAGGAAUACAUCGGAAUCUACUUUUUCGUGGGGGAUAACGUAGGGAAACUUACGCUAAUACCGCAUACGACCUACGGGUGAAAGCAGGGGAUCUUCGGACCUUGCGCGAUUGAAUGAGCCGAUGUCGGAUUAGCUAGUUGGCGGGGUAAAGGCCCACCAAGGCGACGAUCCGUAGCUGGUCUGAGAGGAUGAUCAGCCACACUGGAACUGAGACACGGUCCAGACGCCUACGGGAGGCAGCAGUGGGGAAUAUGGGACAAUGGGCGCAAGCCUGAUCCAGCCAUACCGCGUGGGUGAAGAAGGCCUUCGGGUUGUAAAGCCCUUUUGUUGGGAAAGAAAAGCAGCAGGUUAAUACCCCGCUGUUCUGACGGUACCCAAAGAAUAAGCACCGGCUAACUUCGU